GGCAGCUUGAGCCCAGAGUGAAUGUCCUUACCGUCCACAGGUCCAGUCCAGGGAGAACUUGCAGGGAUGUUAUUCAAAGGGACACCACCUGAAAAGCAGAGAAUCUAAGAUUACAAUAUGUGAUAAUGUUAUAUAUGCAAGUUCCAAUUUUUCCAGUCGGAGCCAGUCAUGUUCAGAAAACCGAAUAUCACCACUGUACAAUCUGACGGUAAUUCCAGCUGUUUUCAGUUUAGUAUUCAUCACAACACAAAAUGACAGCUACCCUGAGAAAGGGACGGGUGAGGUGUUGGCUUUCGCCAGCGUGAUAGGCUUACCUUACCAGGUUAAGUCUACUUGCCAUCAACCCAUUGGGGUGGUUUAACACCUGUUAAAAACAAACUCACAAGGGUUAUGAGAAUAUGAAUACUAUCAUCUAUUCAGAAGCAGCUCAAGAGUGGGGAAGAAACUAAAGUAGAUAAAGUAACUGCCAGGUCAGGUUCAGAAAACCGAAUUUCAGCACUAAACAAUCUGACGGUAAUUCCAGCUAUUUUCAGUUAAGUAUUCAUCACAACCAGACUAGACAGAAACCAACGAUAAAAUGUCAAAGUAAAGUCUAGGUGAAAUGGGUGUGGUAGUCUUACCGUGAGUCUUCUAGUCAUCAACUCAUUGGGGCGGUAUCACUCCUUUCAUACCGCCCUGGCCAGGUCCAGAAGGAGUGGGCUCCCGAAUCUAGAACUAAUGUACAAUUUGGUUAAUUGCAUGAGGACUUAACAGGACUUGCAUUUCAAAAAAAUGUGUGGACUAGCUAACUUAGCCAACUAAACGCCUCGAUUUAAGAUGGAGUUGAGCUGCAACUAUGGGCGGACUGGAGCUCCGACGUCACAAUAGUGACGUUUACAACAACAAAAAGAAAACGAGUUCAGCGCCCAAACAGGCCGCAAUUACAAACACCAUGUCUGUAAUUUCGGGAUAUUCUAUGGGUGCCGAAAUCAGUAGUUAACUUCCAUGUUAUGUAACGUAUGAGCAGCGCCAGUUCGUC
ensembl:lncRNA